rnacentral:rRNA from 1 species
UUUUACAACGAAGAGUUUGAUCCUGGCUCAGGAUGAACGCUAGCGGCAGGCUUAACACAUGCAAGUCGAGGGGUAACGACGGUGCUUGCACCGGGCGACGACCGGCGAACGGGUGCGUAACGCGUAUGCAACCUACCCAUAACUCGAGAAUAGCCCGGAGAAAUUCGGAUUAAUGCUCGAUAAUAUUUCGGAGAGGCAUCUCUCCGAUCUUAAAGUUCCGACGGUUAUGGAUGGGCAUGCGUAGCAUUAGCUUGACGGUGAGGUAACGGCUCACCGUAUUGGCUAUGAUGCUUAGGGGGUCUUAAAGGAUGGUCCCCCACACUGGUACUGAGACACGGACCAGACUCCUACGGGAGGCAGCAGUGAG